rnacentral:rRNA from 1 species
UGGGGAAUUUUGGACAAUGGGCGCAAGCCUGAUCCAGCCAUGCCGCGUGCGGGAAGAAGGCCUCGGGUUGUAAACCGCUUUGUCAGGAAGAAAUCUUCUGAGUUAAUACCUCGGGAGGAUGACGGUACCUGAAGAAUAAGCACCAGCUAACUACGUGCCAGCAGCCGCGGUAAUACGUAGGGUGCAAGCGUUAAUCGGAAUUACUGGGCGUAAAGCGUGCGCAGGCGGUUUUGUAAGACAGAGGUGAAAUCCCCGGGCUCAACCUGGGAACUGCCUUUGUGACUGCAAGGCUUGAGUGCGGCAGAGGGGGGAAUGGAAUUCCGCGUNUAGCAGUGAAAUGCGUAGAUAUGCGGAGGAACACCGAUGGCGAA